UACGACGCCUUGCAAGCGUUAUCCGGAAUUAUUGGGCGUAAAGCGUUUGUUGGCGGGCGAGUGUGUUUAAUGUUAAAUCUUAAAGCUCAACUUUGAAAUUGCGUUAAAAACUGCUUGUCUUGAGUAUGGUAGGGGUAAAGGGAAUUCCCAGUGUAGCGGUGAAAUGCGUAGAUAUUGGGAAGAACACUAAACAGCGAAGGCACUUUACUAGGCUAAUACUGACGCUGAGAAACGAAAGGUAAGGUAGCGAAACGGAUUAGAUACCCGUGUAGUCUUACCCGUAAACUAUGGACACUAAACGGUAAAUUUUUAAUUUACUGUUAAAGCUAACGCGUUAAGUGUCCCGCCUGGGGAGUAUGCCUGCAAAAGUGAAACUCAAAGGAAUUGACGGGGGCCCGCACAAGCGGUGGAGCAUGUGGUUUAAUUCGACGGUACACGAAGAACCUUACCAGGAUUUGACAUGCUAGAUAGUUGCUUGAAAGAGUAACGUGCCGUAAGGAAUCUAGACACAGGUGGUGCAUGGCUGUCGUCAGUUCGUGUUGUGAAAUGUUGGGUUAAGUCCCGCAACGAACGCAACCCUUGUCUUUAGUUAUUUUCUAAAGAGACUGCCUGUAAUAAACAGGAGGAAGGUAAGGAUGAGGUCAAGUCAUCAUGCCCCUUAUGUCCUGGGCUACACACGUGCUACAAUGGGAAAGACAAUGAGCUGCAAAUCUGUAAAUUUAAGCAAAUCUCUUAAACUUUCUCGUAGUUCGGAUUGUGGGCUGCAACUCGCCCACAUGAAGUUGGAAUCGCUAGUAAUCGCCAGUCAGCUAUAUGGCGGUGAAUCCGUUCCCGGGCCU
rnacentral:rRNA from 1 species